CGGGGAGGAGCUAUAGAAUAAAACAGAAAUCGAUGCAGUGUGUUAUUUUAAGAAUGAAAACGCAACUGUUUGAUCAUCUUCUCUCCGAUCUGUUUCUGUGAGAGGACAUCUGAUUUCAAGGAGAACCUGAAAAUGACUAAUACUGCAGAACUGGUUGUUAUCGUUGUGCUUGGAAUAUUACUUUUAAUAGUAUCUGGUCUGUUUUGCUGCAGAGAGAGAAAACAUAAGAAAAAGAAAUCAAAAGAUGUUCCCCUUGAUUCAGUUGUUGUCGAUGAGAACCAAGAAGAACGUCUGCUGACAAAAAAAGCAGAUGAAGUACAGGAAGAACUGAGAAGAGAAAAAGAGGAAAAACGGGAACUAAAGGAAAAACUGG